rnacentral:siRNA from 1 species
GUGGCAUUGUUCCGGGCUGCCCA